AAUGGUGAAAAGUACCCCGGGAGGGGAGUGAAAUAGUACCUGAAACCGUGUGCUUACAAGCCGUUGGAGCCUUUUGGGGUGACAGCGUGCCUUUUGAAGAAUGAGCCUGCGAGUUAGUGUUAUGUCGCGAGGUUAACCCGUGUGGGGUAUCCGUAGCGAAAGCGAGUCUGAAUAGGGCGUUUGAGUGGCAUGACCUAGACCCGAAGCGGAGUGAUCUAUCCAUGGCCAGGUUGAAGCGACGGUAAGACGUCGUGGAGGACCGAACCCACUUCAGUUGAAAAUGGAGGGGAUGAGCUGUGGAUAGGGGUGAAAGGCCAAUCAAACUCUGUGAUAGCUGGUUCUCCCCGAAAUGCAUUUAGGUGCAGCGUUACGUGUUUCUUGCCGGAGGUAGAGCUACUGGAUGGCCGAUGGGCCUUCACGGGUUACUGACGUCAGCUAAACUCCGAAUGCCGGUAAGUGAGAGCGUAGCAGUGAGACAGUGGGGGAUAAGCUUCAUUGUCGAGAGGGAAACAGCCCAGACCACCAACUAAGGCCCCUAAGCGUGUGCUAAGUGGGAAAGGAUGUGGAGUUGCUUAGACAACCAGGAGGUUGGCUUAGAAGCAGCCAUCCUUGAAAGAGUGCGUAAUAGCUCACUGGUCAAGUGAUUCUGCGCCGAUAAUGUAGCGGGGCUCAAGUACACCGCCGAAGUUGUGGCAAUGACCCUUUGGGGUUGUUGGGUAGGGGAGCGUCGUGUAGCCAGUGAAGCUGCGGUGUAAACCAGUGGUGGAGGCUAUGCGAGUGAGAAUGCAGGCAUGAGUAGCGAAAGAUGAGUGAGAAACUCAUCCGCCGGAUGAUCAAGGGUUCCAGGGUCAAGUUAAUCUGCCCUGGGUUAGUCGGGGCCUAAGGCGAGGCCGACAGGCGUAGUCGAUGGAUAACGGGUUGAUAUUCCCGUACCGGUGAAAAACCGCCCAUACUGAUAUUGUGAUGCUAACCAUGCGAAGCAUGAUGUGCAGGCUUUUGUUUGUGUGUUGUGUGGGUUGUGGGACCCGAUCUUUGGAGGUAAACGUAUUAACAGGUGUGACGCAGGAAGGUAGCCAAGCCACGCGAUGGUUGUCGUGGUCUAAGCGUGUAGGGUUGUCGGUUGUUAAAUGCGCCGGCUGUGUGCCUGAGACGUGAUGGGACCCCGUUUUUGGGGGAUUUGGUGAUCCUAUGCUGCCGAGAAAAGCAUCGGCGUGAGGUUUUAGCCGCCCGUACCCUAAACCGACACAGGUGAUCAGGUAGAGAAUACUAAGGCGAUCGAGAGAAUCAUGGUUAAGGAACUCGGCAAAAUGCCCCCGUAACUUCGGGAGAAGGGGGACCUUGAGCGUGAUGGGCACUUGCUGCCUGGAGCGUGUAUGGGUCGCAGAGACCAGGGGGAAGCGACUGUUUAUCAAAAACACAGGUCCGUGCGAAGUCGUAAGACGAUGUAUACGGACUGACUCCUGCCCGGUGCUGGAAGGUUAAGAGGAUUGGUUAGCCCUUUUUGGGCGAAGCUGAGAAUUUAAGCCCCAGUAAACGGCGGUGGUAACUAUAACCAUCCUAAGGUAGCGAAAUUCCUUGUCGGGUAAGUUCCGACCUGCACGAAUGGAGUAACGACUUCCCUACUGUCUCAACCAUGAACUCGGCGAAAUUGCAGUACGAGUAAAGAUGCUCGUUUCGCGCAGCAGGACGGAAAGACCCCGUGACCUUUACUAUAGUUUGGUAUUGGUGUUUGGUUUGGCUUGUGUAGGAUAGGUGGGAGACUGUGAAGCAUGGACGCUAGUUUGUGUGGAGUCGUUGUUGAAAUACCACUCUGGUCAAUCUGGAUGUCUAACUUCGGGCCAUGAUCUGGUUCAGGGACAGUGCCUGAUGGGUAGUUUAACUGGGGCGGUUGCCUCCUAAAGUGUAACGGAGGCGCCCAAAGGUUCCCUCAGCCUGGUUGGCAAUCAGGUGUUGAGUGUAAGUGCACAAGGGAGCUUGACUGUGAGACUGGCAGGUCGAGCAGGGACGAAAGUCGGGACUAGUGAUCCGGCGGUACGUUGUGGAACGGCCGUCGCUCAACGGAUAAAAGGUACCUCGGGGAUAACAGGCUGAUCUUGCCCAAGAGUCCAUAUCGACGGCAUGGUUUGGCACCUCGAUGUCGGCUCGUCGCAUCCUGGGGCUGGAGUCGGUCCCAAGGGUUGGGCUGUUCGCCCAUUAAAGCGGUACGCGAGCUGGGUUCAGAACGUCGUGAGACAGUUCGGUCCCUAUCCGCUGCGCGCGUUGGAAAUUUGAGAAAGGCUGUCCUUAGUACGAGAGGACCGGGACGGACGAACCUCUGGUAUGUCAGUUGUACCGCCAGGUGCAUGGCUGAUUGGCUACGUUCGGGAGGGAUAACCGCUGAAAGCAUCUAAGCGGGAAGCCUGUUUCGAGAUGAGAUUUCCUGGCACUUUGG
rnacentral:rRNA from 1 species